AUCCCUGCACAAGUGAUUGCCAAUUGAUGCGGGAAAUUUUCCUACAGCAGGGUAAGAAACAAAGCAGCUCUGUCAAGGAACCUUCAGCAGAGAAUUGGCAAGUACCUCCAGGAAAGUUUCCUAGCUAUCCCUCUGGAGGACUCCUGUGAAAUCUUGGUGUGCAUUAACACUUUUCCACUGGGCCUCCUGUGACACACUGUACCUCAAAGUAGCACCCUGUAACCCCUUGUAAAGGGGCGGUCACCCCGCUCCAGCCCUAAAAGGGUUAAAAGCCAGUCCUUGGAGGAGGCUGGGGCUGAAAACCAAACAUAGAAGGCUGGGCGGCAGCCAAUCAGGGCCAGGCUGGGCCCUAUAAAAGGGCUGCAGGGCCAGAAGGCAGUCAGUCUUUCUCCAGCUUUGGAGAGAGAUGGACCUGGCUGCCUGAAGGAAAAAAGGGUACUUUGGACAGCGCAGUGCUGGGGAAGGGCAGGAGGAGCUGGGGAAGCUAUAGCCUGGCAAACCCCCAGGCAGGGGCCUUGUUUUAAGGGCUGGAGGAGGUCCUAGGGCUGUGGGGAAGCAGCCACAGGAGGAAGAGGUAGCAGGUCCAACCCCGUUGCCAAUGAUGAGUGGCCACUUCAGACUGCAGUUUGCCCCUGAGGGAAGGGGCUAGAUGAAGACUGGCAAUGGGUCACUGAGGCAAAGUGGGCUUAGAGGAUUGGGGUUCCCCAGGGCAGUACACAAGAGAAGGGGCACCGCAGGCCAGGAGGGACGCAGGGCCUGAAGUUCAGUGGUGGAGAUUUAUCAGGAAGCAGGAGAGACACCGGCCAGCAGGAGGUGCUCUGAGGUUGGGACGAGCUAAUUCCUGGACUAACCAGAAGGAGGUGCCGUGGUGGUGAGUCCUGACCCCAUUACACCCCCUAUUCUUCAUUCAUAUAUGGCUGUGAUAUAUCAUACAAAGCAUGCCAUUUAAGAUACCAUAUGAAAGGUCAUGAUCUGCUGAAACUCAUUGUUUGUCAAAAUAUGUAUAUUGUUAGUGUGUAUGAAGUUAUGAGAGCCUGUUAUAUGGUUAUUAAUGAAAUACGUUGUGGGUUUGGGAGUCGCCCACGGCUAGUUCUCCAGUGACAACAAAGGAGGUAACCCACACCCAGGGCAUUAAAUGACCGCAAGGGUGUCAUAAACAAGGAAUUUACAAUUAUGUAAAUUGUGCCUUGUUGUGCAAGUACCACAUAAUCUGGAUUGCUCAACUCUAUGACACAGUUGCACAAGGCCACACCAGUGGGAUUGCUCAGGCCUUGCUGAGUCACAGAGUACCAGUCACAGAGUUACCGGAGUUCUUGCAUCUGCAGAAGUGAGGGGGUUUACCCACAAAAGCUUAUGCCCAAUUAAAUCUGUUGGUCUUUAAGGUGUCACCAGACUCCUGAUUGUUUUUGUGGAUACAGACUAACACGGCUACCCCCGAUACUAGAGUUACCAGGAUAUGUCUGAGCUAGUAUUUUCCAGGCACAUUGACUGAGGGUAUAAAAUAAGGGACAGUGGCAUCAUACAAUUACCUUUCUCCUCCCCCACCUACACUGACGGCAACAAGAACAGUGGGAAGACAAAACUUGAACUGAGGAGCCUGGUCCCAGGCUGAGGAGGAAAGUCAGCCUGUGUAUUAAGGAUUGUAACCUGCCUACAACAUCCAGUGAGGGUUGAGUGUGCUGGCCGCUGUCUCCAGCCCCCCUGAAGUAUCCACAGGGCUCUUGGUGGUGGAGGUGGGGUCACCACCGAAGACCACAUUCAGCUCCUUGUAGCAGUGGCAGGUCUCUGGUGCAGCACUAGAGAUCCAGUACCAGAUGGUUUGACUCCCUUGCCUUUUUGUACAUCUGCCUCAGCUCCUUGAUCUUUGUACAUCCCGUUUGUAGCCCUUUUCCAACAUGCCAUGAGAAAUCUUCCCGUAGCUAUUUCAGUUCCUAUGGCUGGAAGGAGCUGGGACAGACUGCUCUCCCCACAGACCCAGCAGAUCCAACAACUCCGAUGUACUCCAGGCAGGAGCACGUUUGCUGCAUGGAGCCAUCAUGGUCAGCUGGGAAGAUGCAAUGUGAGUUCUCCACACCAAGCAAACAGGAAGUGGAAUUUCAAAAUUUCCCAGUACUUUAAGGGGGAGAGGUGAAUGUCUGUGUACCUGGCUUCAGGGCAGCCAAGUUUGAAUUGCUGACCAGAGCGGUCAGGAUGGGCAUUGUGGGGCACCUCCUGGAGUCCAUGUACAGUGAUAUAACCAGCACAGUGUCUACACUGACACGUUGUCGACCUAAUUUUGCCGCAAAAACCCUAUGCCUCUCAUCAUGGUGGUUUUAUUUUGUCAGCAAAGCAGAAGAGUUAAAUUGGCAAGAGGAGCAUUGUAGUGUGUACACAACAACUGUUUUGUUGAUGAAAUCUGACUUUUGUCAACAAAACACUAUAGCGUAGACAAGGCCAAAGUCUGUGUAAAUAUAUGAUCAUGAGCUAAUUGCAACUAUUCAUUGAACAGAAAAAUAAAGCCAUACUAAACAUUGAGAGUAACUUCAAGAAAACAUGAAAUCUGUUUAUACAAUUGGCUACUGCUACUCCGUAUUCAUUUCAGAUCCUUCAUCUGAUGAAAAACUGGGAAUUCUACAACAGGACUCUGGAAAACAAAUUGUGAAACACAAGGGAAUGGACACAGUUAAACCUAUUUGAAGCAUAAAGACAUCAGUACUGUGGCGAGAACAAGAGACCAUAACUAUAUAUAGAAGAAAAAUAGCAAUCAUUUUUAAUGCAAGAGUCCGACAAUAAUUUUGUUAUGUAUGCCUAGUGAGGCCAGAGUACA